rnacentral:rRNA from 1 species
AUAUUGGACAAUGGGCGAAAGCCUGAUCCAGCCAUGCCGCGUGAGUGAUGAAGGCCUUAGGGUUGUAAAGCUCUUUCAGUGGGGACGAUAAUGACGGUACCCACAGAAGAAGCCCCGGCUAACUUCGUGCCAGCAGCCGCGGUAAUACGAAGGGGGCUAGCGUUGUUCGGAUUUACUGGGCGUAAAGCGCACGUAGGCGGAUUGUUAAGUGAGGGGUGAAAUCCCAGGGCUCAACCCUGGAACUGCCUUUCAUACUGGCAAUCUUGAGUCCGGAAGAGGUGAGUGGAACUCCUAGUGUAGAGGUGGAAUUCGUAGAUAUUCGGAAGAACACCAGUGGCGAAGGCGGCUCACUGGACGAUUGUUGACGCUGAGGUGCGAAAGCGUGGGGAGCAAACAGG